AUUGAACGCUGGCGGCAUGCCUUACACAUGCAAGUCGAACGGCAGCACGGGGGGUAACCCCUGGUGGCGAGUGGCGAACGGGUGAGUAAUAUAUCGGAACGUGUCCUGUAGCGGGGGAUAACCUAUCGAAAGAUGGACUAAUACCGCAUACGACCUACGGGUGAAAGCGGAGGACCGCAAGGCUUCGCACUAUAGGAGCGGCCGAUAUCGGAUUAGCUAGUUGGCGGGGUAACGGCCCACCAAGGCGACGAUCCGUAGCUGGUCUGAGAGGACGAUCAGCCACACUGGAACUGAGACACGGUCCAGACUCCUACGGGAGGCAGCAGUGGGGAAUUUUGGACAAUGGGCGCAAGCCUGAUCCAGCCAUGCCGCGUGAGUGAAGAAGGCCUUCGGGUUGUAAAGCUCUUUCGGCGGGGACGAAACGGUUCGUGCUAAUACCACGGACUACUGACGGUACCCGAAGAAGAAGCACCGGCUAACUACGUG
rnacentral:rRNA from 1 species